rnacentral:rRNA from 1 species
AUCAGGGGUAAACCUGUGGAACUCGAACGAACGAACGGGGAGAUUCACCGUAUUUCCGAUGCGUUCCGGCGCGAUGCGUUCACGUGUACGUUGCGUCGUCUCGUGCGGCGUUGACGUUGCGCGUCGUACGAUGUUGCGUCGUCGUCAAACGCGUUGGAAUGCGUGCACUUCUCCCUUAGUAAAACACCGUGACCCGUUCGUCUGGGAUCGAACGCGUCGUGCGGUUGUCCCGUUUCGAACGUCAAAAAUUCGGAACGGAGCCGCGACGUCGCGAUCUCGGACGGGACGGUAAAUGAAAAGGUUCACCUUCGCCACAAUGUUCGCAUUGCGGCGUCCGUAUUUCGAACCGGGUCGAUCUCGUAUGGACUUCGGCGUUAACGCGUCGUGGGUUUCGUACGGUCAGUUUGUCGGCUCGUCGCUUGUCGAAAUUGUUCUCGGACGGAAGGCGUUCCGGUCGACGGUGGUUUUGUUUCGGGCACUCACAGGACCC